rnacentral:snRNA from 1 species
AUACUUACCUGGCGCGGGGAUACCGUGAUCAAGAAGGCGGUGCCUCCAGGACGAGGCCUGUACAUUGCACUCCGUAUGGGCUGACUCCUGCGACUACCCAAAUCGGGUGGCUCGAGCGCAUAAUUUUUGGUAGUGGGGACAAGCGUUCGCGCUGUCCCUU